GAGUUUGAUCCUGGCUCAGAUUGAACGCUGGCGGAAUGCUUUACACAUGCAAGUCGAGCGGCAGCGCGGGGCAACCUGGCGGCGAGCGGCGAACGGGUGAGUAAUGCAUCGGAACAUGUCCAUGUCGUGGGGGAUAGCCCGGCGAAAGCCGGAUUAAUACCGCAUACGCCCGAGAGGGGAAAGUGGGGGACCGCAAGGCCUCACGCGAUUGGGUUGGCCGAUGUCCGAUUAGCUAGUUGGCGGGGUAAGAGCCCACCAAGGCGAUGAUCGGUAGCUGGUCUGAGAGGAUGAUCAGCCACACUGGGACUGAGACACGGCCCAGACUCCUACGGGAGGCAGCAGUGGGGAAUUUUGGACAAUGGGGGCAACCCUGAUCCAGCCAUUCCGCGUGAGUGAAGAAGGCCUUCGGGUUGUAAAGCUCUUUUGUCCGGAACGAAACGGUGCUCGUGAAUAUCGAGCGCUACUGACGGUACCGGAAGAAUAAGCACCGGCUAACUACGUGCCAGCAGCCGCGGUAAUACGUAGGGUGCGAGCGUUAAUCGGAAUUACUGGGCGUAAAGCGUGCGCAGGCGGUUUUGUAAGCCAGAUGUGAAAUCCCCGGGCUUAACCUGGGAAUGGCAUUUGGGACUGCAAGGCUGGAGUGCGGCAGAGGAGACU
rnacentral:rRNA from 1 species